rnacentral:rRNA from 1 species
UGGGGAAUUUUGGACAAUGGGGGAAACCCUGAUCCAGCCAUCCCGCGUGUGCGAUGAAGGCCUUCGGGUUGUAAAGCACUUUUGGCAGGAAAGAAACGUCAUGGGUUAAUACCCCGUGAAACUGACGGUACCUGUAGAAUAAGCACCGGCUAACUACGUGCCAGCAGCCGCGGUAAUACGUAGUGUGCAAGCGUUAAUCGGAAUUACUGGGCGUAAAGCGUGCGCAGGCGGUUCGGAAAGAAAGAUGUGAAAUCCCAGAGCUCAACUUUGGAACUGCAUUUUUAACUACCGGGCUAGAGUGUGUCAGAGGGAGGUGGAAUUCCGCGUGUAGCAGUGAAAUGCGUAGAUAUGCGGAGGAACACCGAUGGCGAAGGCAGCCUCCUGGGAUAACACUGACGCUCAUGCACGAAAGCGUGGGGAGCAAACAGG